UAAAACCUUCACAAAAGAGUCCCUUUUGAUUUCUAUCUUGCUUUUCAUAGUUUUAAUGAUUCCUGGUCAACUGAGGUCUGUAACUAUUAGAAAAUGCCUGAAAUUAAUGCUUAAACCCACCAAAGUUCCCACCAGAGAAGCUGACCCAGCAGUAGUGACCAUGUAGACCCUGGAGCUAAAAGAUGAACUGCUGGAGUGCUUGAAGGGGCCAGUCCUGUGGAUCCCGAACUACAGGAUCUCCAUGAUUCAGGGUAACAACAGGGUAUCUGA